GACUAAUGAUUUUACUGAGCUGAAGAAUCAGAACUUGCAUCUCUCUUUCUCUCUCUCUCCAUGAAAUCAAAGUUGGAAUGAUUGAUGGCACUCUCACGGCUUUGACAUGAGGAUUUAAGAAAGGUAAACUGUCGCGACGAGAGCAAGGUAAGAUUUUUACAGUGAAAGAAGCAUGAGGUGUGAAAUUUCAAAUUUUUUGAGAUAUUAAUAUUUUAAUAAAAAGUAUUAAUAAUUUAU